ACAACAAAUUGGUGACUCGGC
rnacentral:miRNA from 1 species